AUGAAGCUCGCUGGUGCUCUCUUGCUGCUCGGGGCUGCCCUGCUCCUGACUUCAGGGGGAGAUUCACCUUGUCUUUGUGUUCCAUACUGUGGCCUUUGCCCUGCUUUACAGAAAAAAGUUGAUAUAUUUUUUAAUGGGACCACUGAAGAGUAUGUUGAGUACCUGAAACCAUACAAUAAAGACACUAACGUACUGGAAAAUGCUGCAAAUAUCAAGAAAUGUUCUGAUAGGACGUUGACCGAGGAAGAC
rnacentral:lncRNA from 1 species